AUUGUAGUCUGCAACCCGACUACAUGAAGCUGGAAUCGCUAGUAAUCGCAGGUCAGCAUACUGCGGUGAAUACGUUCCCGGGUCUUGUACACACCGCCCGUCACACCAUGGGAGCCGGUAACGCCCGAAGUCAGUGACCCAACCGAGAGGAGGGAGCUGCCGAAGGCGGGACAGGUAACUGGGGUGAAGUCGUAACAAGGUAAC
rnacentral:rRNA from 1 species